rnacentral:tRNA from 1 species
GCGGGUGUAGUUCAGUGGUAGAACGCUAUCCUUCCAAGUUAGAUGUCGUCGGUUCAAGUCCGAUCUCCCGCU